CCUACGGGAGGCAGCAGUGGGGAAUAUUGGACAAUGGGCGAAAGCCUGAUCCAGCAAUGCCGCGUGAGUGAUGAAGGCCUUCGGGUCGUAAAGCCCUUUUACCAGGGAUGAUAAUGACAGUACCUGGAGAAUAAGCUCCGGCUAACUCCGUGCCAGCAGCCGCGGUAAUACGGAGGGAGCUAGCGUUGUUCGGAAUUACUGGGCGUAAAGAGUACGUAGGCGGUUAUUCAAGUCAGAGGUGAAAGCCCGGGGCUCAACCCCGGAACUGCCUUUGAAACUAGAUAACUAGAGUCUUGGAGAGGUUAGUGGAAUUCCGAGUGUAGAGGUGAAAUUCGUAGAUAUUCGGAAGAACACCAGUGGCGAAGGCGACUAACUGGACAAGUACUGACGCUGAGGUACGAAAGCGUGGGGAGCAAACAGGAUUAGAUACCCUGGUAGUCCACGCCGUAAACGAUGAUAACUAGUUGUUCGGUCACUUGGUGACUGAGUGACGCAGCUAACGCAUUAAGUUAUCCGCCUGGGGAGUACGGUCGCAAGAUUAAAACUCAAAGGAAUUGACGGCUGNGAAGUGCGAGCGACACGAGGGAGAGG
rnacentral:rRNA from 1 species